AACGAACGCUGGCGGCAUGCCUAACACAUGCAAGUCGAACGAGACCUUCGGGUCUAGUGGCGCACGGGUGCGUAACGCGUGGGAACCUGCCCUUAGGUUCGGAAUAACUCCCCGAAAGGGGUGCUAAUACCGGAUAAUGUCUUCGGACCAAAGAUUUAUCGCCUUUGGAUGGGCCCGCGUUGGAUUAGCUAGUUGGUAGGGUAAAAGCCUACCAAGGCGACGAUCCAUAGCUGGUCUGAGAGGAUGAUCAGCCACACUGGGACUGAGACACGGCCCAGACUCCUACGGGAGGCAGCAGUGGGGAAUAUUGGACAAUGGGCGAAAGCCUGAUCCAGCAAUGCCGCGUGAGUGAUGAAGGCCUUAGGGGUGUAAAGCUCUUUUACCCGGGAUGAUAAUGACAGUACCGGGAGAAUAAGCUCCGGCUAACUCCGUGC
rnacentral:rRNA from 1 species